rnacentral:rRNA from 1 species
UGGGGAAUUUUGGACAAUGGGCGAAAGCCUGAUCCAGCAAUGCCGCGUGUGUGAAGAAGGCCUUCGGGUUGUAAAGCACUUUUGUCCGGAAAGAAAUCCUUGGCUCUAAUACAGUCGGGGGAUGACGGUACCGGAAGAAUAAGCACCGGCUAACUACGUGCCAGCAGCCGCGGUAAUACGUAGGGUGCAAGCGUUAAUCGGAAUUACUGGGCGUAAAGCGUGCGCAGGCGGUUUGCUAAGACCGAUGUGAAAUCCCCGGGCUCAACCUGGGAACUGCAUUGGUGACUGGCAGGCUAGAGUAUGGCAGAGGGGGGUAGAAUUCCACGUGUAGCAGUGAAAUGCGUAGAGAUGUGGAGGAAUACCGAUGGCGAAGGCAGCCCCCUGGCAAGUACUGACGCUCAUGCACGAAAGCGUGGGGAGCAAACAGGAUUAGAUACCCCUGGUAGUCCACGCCCUAAACGAUGUCAACUAGUUGUUGGGGGAUUCAUUUCCUUAGUAACGUAGCUAACGCGUGAAGUUGACCGCCU